rnacentral:rRNA from 1 species
GAUGAACGCUAGCGGCAGGCUUAAUACAUGCAAGUCGAGGGACAGCACAGGUAGCAAUACUGGAUGGUAACCGGCAAACGGGUGCGGAACACGUACACAACCUUCCUUUAAGUGGGGGAUAGCCCAGAGAAAUUUGGAUUAAUACCCCGUAAUAUAGUUGAAUGGCAUCAUUUGAUUAUUAUAGCUACGGCGCUUAAUGAUGGGUGUGCGGCUGAUUAGAUAGUUGGCGGGAUAACGGCCCACCAAGUCUACGAUCAGUAGCUGAUGUGAGAGCAUGAUCAGCCACACGGGCACUGAGACACGGGCCCGACUCCUACGGGAGGCAGCAGUAAGGAAUAUUGGUCAAUGGACGCAAGUCUGAACCAGCCAUGCCGCGUGAAGGAUUAAGGUCCUCUGGAUUGUAAACUUCUUUUAUUUGGGACGAAAAGGGCCUUUCUAGGUCAACUGACGGUACCAGAUGAAUAAGCACCGGCUAACUCCGUGCCAGCCGCCGCGGUAAGAC